CUGAGAAAGUCAGGAGGAAUAACACUCCUCCGUCUCUCUUGCCUAAAGUGAUCCGAUCACGCUGCUUAAUGCUAAAGCCAGCAGCCAAAGGCUCCAUCCAAUGGGAAUACAGUCGCUGGCAUCUCAGGAAUGUGGAAGAAAGACAUGUGGCAGGAAAACAAAUGAAAACCUCUCAGUAUGAACUGCACAAGACCUUCAGUUUAUGAUGCGGGACCAUCAUGAUUACAGAAGGAAUCUGCCAGCUGCACUCUCAGAUCCUUGACAACUCCUCUCCAGCAUUGUCUACACGAUUGACAACAACUUUCCAGGAUUGCAGGCUGCAUUUUUUUCAGUCUUCAGACGCCAAGGACUGAAAUUGAGACCUUGUAGCUGUGAAGCAGCUGGGCUGCACCUGGCUUUAACCAGACCGUCAGCACAUGUCAGGGUCUGAAAAGGAAUGGAGGAGAGAGAAUGCAUGGAAGUCGUGAAAUCUGACUUGGAUUUAGGGCCAACCCAAGAUGUGUUAUUGCUUAAAGCAGAGGCUAAAGUUAAGUCCCUUCCUACCCAUUACAUACAAAAAAGAACACUAGACAAGCAGUCAAAGCUACUGAUGGGACAGAAUCCUCCAUUAUGCCUAAAGGCAAUGAUUUGACUUAGGUAAUAUAGGUAGUCCUCAACUUAUGACAACUGACCCCAAAAUUUCUGGUUUUGUUUUUUGUUUUUUUAAAAAAAGAUUUUAUUGAAUUUUAUAGGGUUAGGGAUAGAAUAGGAUUGGGAUAGGGAUUAAGGUUUAGGAUGAGGUUAGGAUCAGGACUGGGAUGAGGACAGGGUUGGGAACAACAUUGGAGUUAUCCCCCAAUAACAUUUUCAAUCUUCAGCAAACAGACUAUUGUCCGGGUACAUAUGUUCAAUUAACAAUAGUUGAUAUAGUAAUAAAUAAUUGUAGUAAAUGUAAUAAACAAUAAUCACAAGCAGUAUCAGUUAAUCAAUGCAUAUCAUUUUUCUUACUAAUAUAUAUUCAAAAUAAUAUAUCACAUUCAUUUCUCACUAGUUUGUUUUCCUAACCAUUGGUAAAAAUUAUCCCAUGUUCUAAAGUAAACUGAAUCUUCUUUCUCUUUAAUCUCUAAGGUCAAUCUAUCCAUUUCUGCACAUUCUAAGAUUUUAAUUAAUUAAAACCUCUUCAGUUGGUAAGCUUUCAUUUAUCUAAUAUUGGGCAAAUGCUACUCUCACUGCUGUCGGUACAUGCAAUAUUAAAUAUUCAUUCUCCUUCUCAUAAUUAGGUCUUUUGUAUUCCUAACAAAAACAGUUCUGGUUUAAAUUCUAUUUGUCUUUUAAUCAUCUUUUCCAACCAUGUUAUGUAUCUUAACCCAAAACUUUUUUGUUUUAGGGCAUGUCCACCAGAUAUGAUGGGAGCGAUGAGGAGGCCUACCCAGGGCAAAGCUCCUGUUCCUCUUAUUUUCCCCUGUUGAACAGGAAGAGCUGCAGAAAUAUUCACUGGACGUUGAACAGAAACCUCAGAAUGUCGACAAAGUCAAUGUGGUCAAGAGCCUAACUUUAUCAAGUUUCCACUGAGAUUUUCAGUUAACUUCAGUUCUGUAGGAAUCGUUCCUCUUCAGUGUGGAUUUUAAGAUAAAUGCAAGAAAGUAAAGAACGGAAAGGACAUAAUUAGCAGUUUGUGGGCAGCAGAAAUAGACUUACUGCACAUGGCCCCACAAUGUUACUUUCCAAGUGCCUGAAUUAGUCUUUAGCUGGUAUUGAAAGGGAAUAACAGAAGAACUUGUCUUCCAGUAGUUUUGAGUCAUGAGAACUGAAACUAGACUCCAGAAGUAAUGCAUGCCUGUUUGAACAUCACCUGCUGGAGGAAAGCAGGGGAGACACCUGUUGGCUUCAGAUUCUGCAGGUGGGCUUCCCAGAAGCAUCUUGGUAGUUGCUGCAGAUAACACAAAAAUGAAUCUGAGAUUAUCUAACAGGGUUAGUAACUGGAAAGUUGGGUCUGCUUAGAAAACACUUAAGCAGAAAUGCUCCCUGUUCUUUGCUCUGCUGUCCUUCCUUACCAUAUUGUUUUAUUCUCAUUUUACUUUUUAUUCCAGUGAUCUUUGGUGAUAUGACUGCAUUCAU